UACAGAGGGUGCAAGCGUUAAUCGGAAUUACUGGGCGUAAAGCGUGCGUAGACGGUUAUGUAAGUCAGAUGUGAAAGCCCAGGGCUCAACCUUGGAAUUGCAUUUGAGACUGCAUAGCUAGGGUGCGGAAGAGGGAAGCGGAAUUUCCGGUGUAGCGGUGAAAUGCGUAGAUAUUGGGAGGAACACCAGUGGCGAAGGCGGCUCACUGGACCGGAACUGACGCUGAGGCGCGAAAGCGUGGGGAGCAAACGGG
rnacentral:rRNA from 1 species